GGCUCUCUGUUUACAUAAAUAUAGGGAGUCGAGCCUGCCCAGUGAAUUUUUAAACGGCCGCGGUACUCUGACCGUGCAAAGGUAGCAUAAUCAUUUGCCUUAUAAUUGAAGGCUAGUAUGAAUGGUUUGACGAGAGCAACACUGUCUCCUUUUUAUUUUCAAGAACUUAACUUUUAGGUGAAGAGGCCUAAAUUUUAUUGAAGGACAAGAAGACCCUAUCGAGCUUAAAAGACAUUAUAGAAGUUUAUAUAUUUCUAAAUAAAUUUUCUAUUGAGCUUUUUAGUUGGGGCGACUAAGGAACAAAAAAAGCUUCUUGCUGAUAAUAGACAGUCAUGUUUAGAUCCGAUAAUAAUCGAUCAAAGAAAUUAGUUACCGUAGGGAUAACAGCAUAAUCUCUCUUGAGAGACCUAAUCGAAAGAGGGGGUUGCGACCUCGAUGUUGGACUAGAAUAUCCUAAAGAUGCAGAAGUCUUUGAAAGGUCGGUCUGUUCGACCGUUAAAAUUCUACAUGAUCUGAGUUCAGACCGGCGUGAGCCAGGUCAGUUUCUAUCCUCAAUUUAUUUAUCUGCACCCAGUACGAAAGGAUCGGUUUAGAAAGUGUAAACUUUUAUUAAGAAUUAAAAUAAUAAUAAAAUAAAUUUUAUU
rnacentral:rRNA from 1 species